rnacentral:rRNA from 1 species
UAGAUGAAAAAAACUUUGAAAAGAGAGUUAAACAGUACGUGAAAUUGCUGAAAGGGAAACGCUUGAAGUCAGUCGCGUUGUCCGGAACUCAGCCUUGCUUUUGCUUGGUGCACUUUCCGGAUGACGGGUCAGCAUCGAUUUUGACCGUCGGAAAAGGGCUGGAGUAAUGUGGCACCUCCGGGUGUGUUAUAGACUCUGGUCGCAUACGGCGGUUGGGAUCGAGGAACGCAGCGCGCCGCAAGGCAGGGGUUCGCCCACUUUCGCGCUUAGGAUGCUGGCAUAAUGGCUUUAAACGACCCGUCUUGAAACACGGACCAAGGAGUCUAACAUACCUGCGAGUGUUUGGGUGGAAAACCCGAGCGCGUAAUGAAAGUGAAAGUUGAGAUCCCUGUCGUGGGGAGCAUCGACGCCCGGACCAGACGUUCUCUGACGGAUCCGCGGUAGAGCAUGUAUGUUGGGACCCGAAAGAUGGUGAACUAUGCCUGAAUAGGGUGAAGCCAGAGGAAACUCUGGUGGAGGCUCGUAGCGAUUCUGACGUGCAAAUCGAUCGUCAAAUUUGGGUAUAGGGGCGAAAGACUAAUCGAGCAUCUAG